AGUCGAGCGGCAGCGGGAAGAUAGYUUGCUAUCUUUGCCGGCGAGCGSCSGACGGGUGAGUAAUGCCUAGGGAUCUGCCCAGUCGAGGGGGAUAACAGUUGGAAACGACUGCUAAUACCGCAUACGCCCUACGGGGGAAAGGAGGGGACCUUCGGGCCUUCCGCGAUUGGAUGAACCUAGGUGGGAUUAGCUAGUUGGUGAGGUAAUGGCUCACCAAGGCGACGAUCCCUAGCUGUUCUGAGAGGAUGAUCAGCCACACUGGGACUGAGACACGGCCCAGACUCCUACGGGAGGCAGCAGUGGGGAAUAUUGCACAAUGGGGGAAACCCUGAUGCAGCCAUGCCGCGUGUGUGAAGAAGGCCUUCGGGUUGUAAAGCACUUUCAGUAGGGAGGAAAGGUA
rnacentral:rRNA from 1 species